rnacentral:rRNA from 1 species
UACGUAGGGUGCAAGCGUUAUCCGGAAUUAUUGGGCGUAAAGAGCUCGUAGGCGGUUUGUCGCGUCUGCCGUGAAAGUCCGGGGCUCAACUCCGGAUCUGCGGUGGGUACGGGCAGACUAGAGUGAUGUAGGGGAGACUGGAAUUCCUGGUGUAGCGGUGAAAUGCGCAGAUAUCAGGAGGAACACCGAUGGCGAGGGCAGGUCUCUGGGCAUUAACUGACGCUGAGGAGCGAAAGCAUGGGGAGCGAACAGG